UCCCCGCUAGUUUCGUCGUUUAACAACUGUUUAAUCAUUCAAGAACCUCGAGUAACCUAAACUAAAUUUUCUUCGGGGUUUAUUUGUUAACAUUCGGCAGUUGUUUCCCACCCACCGACAGCUCACCACUCUAUUUACCAUGGCUCGUGUUUAAUGCUGGAUCUAUUAAGGAACUUUACAGAGACUUUUGUUAUGGAUCGUAUUCUCUGCUAGCAAUGGAAGGAUAAGGAUUAUCUACAUUUCUGAACCACGGAGCGACAGCGGGUAGCAUGGUUCUCCGCCCUUUACCAGCUAUUCCCAGCACUCUACAUCUCUGGUCUGCGUGAAGAUCUAUUAACGACGGGGAACUCUUCAGACUUCAAGACGUUUGAUUACUUUGAGGUUGUGAGAGAUUCAAGACGAGGGGGACAUGGGGUCCAGUGCCAAGGACACCGCAUCUGGGUGGCAUCAUUAAUUUUUCAAUAGUGAUAUUGACACUGUUGUGAUAAUAGUAAUAAAUGUGUUUAAAUUUU